rnacentral:rRNA from 1 species
GUAGGUGGGCAAGCGUUGUCCGGAAUUAUUGGGCGUAAAGCGCGCGCAGGCGGUUCUUUAAGUCUGAUGUGAAAGCCCACGGCUCAACCGUGGAGGGUCAUUGGAAACUGGAGAACUUGAGUACAGAAGAGGAAAGCGGAAUUCCACGUGUAGCGGUGAAAUGCGUAGAGAUGUGGAGGAACACCAGUGGCGAAGGCGGCUUUCUGGUCUGUAACUGACGCUGAGGCGCGAAAGCGUGGGGAGCAAACAGGAUUAGGUACCCUGGUAGUCCACGCCGUAAACGAUGAGUGCUAAGUGUUAGGGGGUUUCCGCCCCUUAGUGCUGCAGCUAACGCAUUAAGCACUCCGCCUGGGGAGUACGGCCGCAAGGCUG